rnacentral:rRNA from 1 species
AUUGAGCGCUGGCGGAAUGCUUUACACAUGCAAGUCGAGCGGCAGCGCGGGGCAACCUGGCGGCGAGCGGCGAACGGGUGAGUAAUACAUCGGAACGUGCCCAGACGUGGGGGGAUAACUACUCGAAAGAGUGGCUAAUACCGCAUACGAUCUACGGAUGAAAGCGGGGGAUCGCAAGACCUCGCGCGUCUGGAGCGGCUGAUGGCAGAUUAGGUAGUUGGUGGGGUAAAGGCUCACCAAGCCUGCGAUCUGUAGCUGGUCUGAGAGGACGACCAGCCACACUGGGACUGAGACACGGCCCAGACUCCUACGGGAGGCAGCAGUGGGGAAUUUUGGACAAUGGGCGAAAGCCUGAUCCAGCCAUUCCGCGUGCAGGAUGAAGGCCCUCGGGUUGUAAACUGCUUUUGUACGGAACGAAAAGGCUCCGGCUAAUACCUGGAGUCCAUGACGGUACCGUAAGAAUAAGCACCGGCUAACUACGUGCCAGCAGCCGCGGUAAUC